rnacentral:rRNA from 1 species
CUGCGAUAAGCGCCGGUAAGGUGAUAUGAACCGUUAUAACCGGCGAUUUCCGAAUGGGGAAACCCAGUGUGACUCGUCACACUAUCAUUAACUGAAUCCAUAGGUUAAUGAGGCGAACCGGGGGAACUGAAACAUCUAAGUACCCCGAGGAAAAGAAAUCAACCGAGAUUCCCCCAGUAGCGGCGAGCGAACGGGGAGGAGCCCAGAGCCUGAAUCAGCAUGUGUGUUAGUGGAAGCGUCUGGAAAGGCGCGCGAUACAGGGUGACAGCCCCGUACACAAAAGCGCAUGUGCUGUGAGCUCGAUGAGUAGGGCGGGACACGUGGUAUCCUGUCUGAAUAUGGGGGGACCAUCCUCCAAGGCUAAAUACUCCUGACUGACCGAUAGUGAACCAGUACCGUGAGGGAAAGGCGAAAAGAACCCCGGCGAGGGGAGUGAAAAAGAACCUGAAACCGUGUACGUACAAGCAGUG